CCCAGGGCAAGGGGCUGAAUCAGAGCUGCUACUGCCAGCCUACUCCACAGCAACACAGGAUCCGAGCUGAUGUCUGCAACCUAUACUGCAGCUUAUGGCAAUGAGAGAUCCUCAAGCCAUUGAGUGAGACCAGGAAUUGAACCCAUAUCCUCACGGAUACUACUCGAGUUCAUAACCCACUGGGCCACAAUGAGAACUCCCUCAAUACAGUUUUGUGUUAUUAAAAACAAUACCGCAGCACCACGGGGCAGGACGGCUUUCGGCGAUGAAUCAUGUGAUCCCCGUGUGCUAGUUUAUAAAUUGUUAACUGCUUUGGGAUUCACAGGGAUGAAAGAUGCUUUAUUUAUUGUCCUUUGAGAUGAAAGAUGCAUAAUUUAUAACAUAGGAUUACUAUUUUAUUUACUCUUGUGAUGCUGAAAUCACAUUCUUUUCUAGUGAUGGAACUGCAGAAUCCGUUUUAAUUUGGGGGCGAGUAUCUUGUUCAAAGCUUCAGUGUUGGAGGGUCUGGUUACUCAAAUGUGAGUAUUGUAUGAAUGAAACAGUAUGAUCCUUUUGUUGUUACACAAAGGCUUCAUUCUCCUGCUCACAAGUGUUAGUGGGAUGUUAAACGUGUGUGUGUGUGUGUGUGUGAUGUAAAGAUGCUGGCUCUCCUGUGUGUUCAUGCAGGCUUAUGAUGACAUAAUUAUGUAGAUUCUCUUAAUGUAUCUUAUACUAUCAGUUGUAGGCUUUCCAUAGUCUUCUCUUUCAGUGAUCCUAGGACCUACGUAUGGCACUGUUAUGUUUCCAGAUAAUCACUUUCCAGCAUCUAAAAAUAUCAACAGCUUUGUGAUUAGAAAAACGCCAGCUUCUUGAUUGAUAGAACCCUUAGAAUUCUUCACUUUACAACGUUGUAGGGACAGCCAGUUUGCUUGCUUGCAUGAUUUUAACUAAAAGAUGUGGAUCCCUUCUUGGUUCCCAGAUUUGGAGCAAUUGCUUUUAAUUUUAAAAAAUAUUUGUCCCAAGUCACCUCUGCAUCAAAUGGACUGUGGCAAGCCAUGGAUGUGUGUGUGUGGAUAGGGGGAGGGGGACAGGAAUGUUGGAGUUGCUUUGUAUCUGGUUAUUUCACUGGUUCUCUCUUCCUUUUGAGGAACUAAUGUCUUCUACUCAGAAUCUUAGGAUGGAGCAACAGUGGAACUAUGGAAUAUAAGAGAGCAGGGUGUCAAUGGCUAUUAGCUUCUUCUUUUCAAAUUUUUUUUUCAGUUCUUCCAGAGGAAAGGUGCUUGCUUGCCUUUCAGUUGUUGGUCAAAUAGCAAUAGUAGGAAAGGACAGGUAUCCAUAGACAGAUGGUCCCACCCUGUAGGACAGCACUUCACAAAAUAUCCAGCAUGACUUGUUGAGAAAACAUGGGGAAACAGAUGACCCAAACCAGGAUCUUACCUCUUAAAAUGAUCUUACCAGUUUGCUUACAUGUUACAAUUUUAUUAGGAUAUUAAUUUGCUUUCUUAUCUAGACUCAGUUUGGAAUUGCUAAGGAUUAUCUUUUGGAAAUAUGGAAAGUAUUUCUAGAAACUGUAAUUCCCCUGCUCACUAUUCCUAGUGCAGGAAACUGUGACUUUUGUUUUUUUGUUUGUUUUGUCUCUUUAGGGCUGCAUCCAUGGCAUAUGGAAGUUCCCAGAAUAGGGGUCGAAUAGGAGCUGUAGCUGCUAGCCUACACCACAGCUACAGCAACACGGGAUCCGAGCCUCAUCUGCGACCUGCACCAGAGCUCACAGCAAUGCCAGAUCCUUAACCAUUGAGUGAGGCCAGAGAUCAAACCUGUAUCCUCAUGGACACCUGUCAGGUUCGUUAACCACUGAGCCAUGAUGGGGACUCCAGUGAACUGUGACUCUUUAAAGUUGUUCUACUUGACAGUAGAAGCAAAUGAAGGGAAGCUAAGGCCUAACUGUCUUUGUGUGUAUGGAAAACCCUGGCGUAAGAUAAGGAGAACUAGCAAUCAUGUCUCCUUUAAAGACAGAAAUUUCUUCAGCUGAAGUGAGGAAUUAGAAUCUGGUUUCAGAAAGUCCUGUCUGAGUCAGUCCUCUGCAGAUGCUAGGGGGUUUUACAGACCACGUUUCUGUGGAUACCUGUGGCUCCUAUUUCCUGCACUGUUGAGGCUGUAGUUUUUUCAGCAAAGGGCAGAUAGACACCUAUUUAGAAUGACUUAGAGAAAUACAGAAUUGGGGGUAUUCAAACAUGGUAUUCUGCAGAGCAGAAACUAAAUCUGAUUUUCUUUCUAGUCAGUUGGCUGGUACCCAGACAAGGUCCCCAGUUUCUAAGCACCAGCACCAACGUGUUUUCUGUUCAGCAAACUCUGGAUUGCUUCUCAGAAACAAGAAAACAAGCUAAAGAUUAUGGGGGCAUCUUCCAGUUCUUGAUGACUGAAACUGAAAAGAAAGUCUAUCUUUUUUUUUUUUUUUUGUCUUUUUGUCUUUUCUAGGGCCAUACCCACAGCAUAUGGAGGUUCCCAGGCUAGGGGUUGAAUCGGAGCUGAGGACGCCGACCUACGCCAGGCCCACAGCAACAUAGGAUCUGAGCCCCGUCUGCGACCUACACCACAGCUCACAGCAACGCUGGGUCCUUAACCCACUGAGUGAGGCCAGGGAUCGAACCCGCAACCUCAUGAUUCCUAGUCGGAUUCGUUAAUCACUGAGCCAUGACAGGAAUUCCUUUUUUUUUUUUUUUUAAGGAAGUCUGUCUUUACAGAGCUUGAAAUCAUAUUUAGUGUAUCAAAAUGGAAAUUACAUUUAUAUUCAAAAUGCAAAUAGCAUAAAUUUUUUAUGUUUUUUCUCAUGAGUUUUUUUUUUUUUUAAUUUACCUAGUAAUGUGUGGUUACCUUUGCUUUCCCCUCCUUUUCAUUAUUAUGAGUAUUUUUUUUUUUUGCGUUAAAUUUGCCUCUGGAGUAUAAAGCAGAAGUGUUUGCUUGUUGCUUUGGAAACUUUCUGUGGUUGUUCAGAAUGGCACCAAGUCACUGCCAGGUUAAUAGAGCUGCUUUAAAUAUAACCAUAUUUUAUUAAAGCUAUGACAAAUACAUUGGGGUUUUAUCACUUGUGAUGAAUGUUUCAUUUCAUUGAGAUCAAUUCUAAUUCUGGAAAUUAAAUGUUCA
rnacentral:lncRNA from 1 species